CCUACGGGUGGCAGCAGUGAGGAAUAUUGGUCAAUGGGCGGAAGCCUGAACCAGCCAAGCCGCGUGAGGGACGAAGGUACAGCGUAUCGUAAACCUCUUUUGUCAGGGAACAAAGGCAGGGACUAGUCCCCGGAUGAGGGUACCUGAAGAAAAAGCAUCGGCUAACUCCGUGCCAGCAGCCGCGGUAAUACGGAGGAUGCGAGCGUUAUCCGGAUUUAUUGGGUUUAAAGGGUGCGCAGGCGGACUGUUAAGUCAGCGGUAAAAGCCCGGGGCUCAACCCCGGCGAGCCGUUGAAACUGGCUGGCUGGAGGUGGCGAGAGGUACGCGGAAUGCGCGGUGUAGCGGUGAAAUGCUUAGAUAUUGCGCAGAACCCCGAUUGCGAAGGCAGCAUACCGGCUGCAAACUGACGCUGAGGCACGAAAGCGUGGGUAUCGAACAGGAUUAGAUACCCGGGUAGUC
rnacentral:rRNA from 1 species